GGUCAAGAAGAAAAGGGCACAUGGUGGAUGCCUUGGCGCUAAGAGCCGAAGAAGGGCGUGGAAAGCUGCGAAAAGCCACGAGGAGCCGCAAGCAGGCGUUGAACCGUGGAUACCCGAAUGGGGCAACCCGGCGGAGCAAAACUCCGUCACCCUAUGCUGAACACAUAGGCAUAGAGGAGGGCACCCGGGGAACUGAAACAUCUAAGUACCCGGAGGAAAAGAAAGAAACAUCGAACCCCCAAGUAGCGGCGAGCGAAAAGGGGCGAGCCUAAACCAGAAUUCUUCGGAAAUCUGGGGUUGCGGGACCUUCAUCACGUAAUUGCUAGUCCUAGUCGAAGCCACCUGGAAAGGUGCUGCACAGAAGGUA
rnacentral:rRNA from 1 species